GACGAACCGUGCGAACGUUGUUCGGAAUUACUGGGCUUAAAGGGUGCGUAGGCGGCGUGGAAAGUUGGGUGUGAAAUCCCUCAGCUUAACUGAGGAACAGCGCCCAAAACUACCAUGCUCGAGGGAGAUAGAGGAAUGCGGAACUUAGGGUGGAGCGGUGAAAUGCGUUGAUAUCCUAGGGAACACCGGUGGCGAAAGCGGCAUUCUGGAUCUCUUCUGACGCUGAGGCACGAAAGCCAGGGUAGCAAACGGG
rnacentral:rRNA from 1 species